rnacentral:rRNA from 1 species
UACGGGGGGAGCAAGCGUUGUUCGGAUUUACUGGGCGUAAAGGGCGCGUAGGCGGUCAGCACAAGUCAAUUGUGAAAUCUCCGAGCUUAACUCGGAAAGGUCAACUGAAACUGUGCGACUAGAGUGCGGAAGGGGCAACUGGAAUUCUUGGUGUAGCGGUGAAAUGCGUAGAUAUCAGGAGGAACACCGGUGGCGAAGGCGGGUCUCUGGGCCGAUACUGACGCUGAGGAGCGAAAGCGUGGGGAGCGAAUAGG